rnacentral:rRNA from 1 species
GACGAACGCUGGCGGCGUGCUUAACACAUGCAAGUCGAACGGAAAGGCCCUGCUUUUGUGGGGUGCUCGAGUGGCGAACGGGUAAGUAACACGUGAGUAACCUGCCCUUGACUUUGGGAUAACUUCAGGAAACUGGGGCUAAUACCGGAUAGGAGCUCCUGCUGCAUGGUGGGGGUUGGAAAGUUUCGGCGGUUGGGGAUGGACUCGCGGCGUCUCAGCUUGUUGGUGGGGUAGUGGCUUACCAAAGCUUUGACGGGUAGCCGGCCUGAGAGGGUUACCGGCCACAUUGGGACUGAGAUACGGCCCAGACUACUACGGGCGGCAGAAGUGGGGAAUAUUGCAAGAUGGGCGGAAGCAUGAUGCAGCCACGCCGCGUGCGGGAUGACGGCCUUCGGGUUGUACACCGCUUUCGCCUGUGACGAAGCGUGAGUGACGGUAAUGGGUAAAGAAGCACCGGCUAACUACGUG